rnacentral:sRNA from 1 species
GCUAUUCUGGGCACAGGGAAUACAUGGUAUGAUGUAUAUAAAGCAUUGGAGGUCCACAACCUCAUAGCUGUGGGGGCGCGUGCAGGUGAUGUCGGGGUUGGAGGCCACAUUCUUGGAGGUGGCAUAUCUUUCCUAUCCAAUCUGUAUGGCUGGGCUUGCGAUAAUGUCAUAAACUAUGAGGUUGUGGGCGCCUAUGGUGGGAUUCUCAAUAUCGAUGCUCAGAGACCAGAGAUGUUCUUCGCAUUAUGUGGAGGAGGGAACAAUUUCGGAAUCGUAACCAGGUUCACCGUGAAUAUAUACCCUCAAGGUCCGAUGUGGCAAGGGCUGCGAGAGUUCAGCAUGGAUCGCGAACAGGCUGUUCUCGAUACAUACGUUAACCUCGGGAGAGCAAUCAUCGAGGAUCCCAGGAGCAGCAACGGUUUCAUAGCCUUUACCGUCACGCAGAAAGCGGAAA